GACAGAGGGGGCAAGCGUUGCUCGGAAUUACUGGGCGUAAAGGGCGCGUAGGCGGGAUGGCAAGUCGGUCGUGAAAUCCUUCGGCUCAACCGAAGAACGUCGAUCGAUACUGCUGUUCUUGAGGGUUGCAGAGGAGACUGGAAUUCCCGGUGUAGCGGUGAAAUGUGUAGAGAUCGGGAGGAACACCGGUGGCGAAGGCGGCUCUCUGGGACGGUACUGACGCUGAGACGCGAAAGCGUGGGGAGCGAACAGG
rnacentral:rRNA from 1 species